rnacentral:rRNA from 1 species
GACGAACGCUGGCGGCGUGCUUAACACAUGCAAGUCGAACGGUGAAGCGCCUUCCUUUUUGGUGGGUGUGGAUGAGUGGCGAACGGGUGAGUAACACGUGAGUAACCUGCCCCCUUCUUCUGGAUAACCGCAUGAAAGUGUGGCUAAUACGGGAUAUUCUGGGUCUGUCGCAUGAUGGGUCUGGGAAAGAUAUUGUUUCGGUGGGGGAUGGGCUCGCGGCGUAUCAGCUUGUUGGUGGGGUGAUGGCCUACCAAGGCGGUGACGGGUAGCCGGCCCGAGAGGGUGGACGGUCACACUGGGACGGAGACACGGCCCAGACUCCGACGGGAGGCAGCAGUGGGGAAUAUUGCACAAUGGGCGCAAGCCUGAUGCAGCGACGCCGCGUGAGGGAUGGAGGCCUUCGGGUUGUGAACAUCUUUCGCCAGUGAAGCAGGCCUGCCUCGUUUGUGGGUGGGUUGACGGUAGCUGGAUAAGAAGCGCCGGCUAACUACGUG